rnacentral:tRNA from 1 species
UUAGUUAAAACCAAAAUAGAGGUACACUACUGUUAAUAGUGAAAUUGAAAAAUUUUUUCUAACUAAA